rnacentral:tRNA from 1 species
GCGGGCGUAGCUCAGUGGCAGAGCGCCACCUUGCCGAGGUGGAGGUCGCGGGUUCAAGUCCCGUCGCCCGCUCCA